rnacentral:rRNA from 1 species
UGGGGGAUAUUGCACAAUGGGCGCAAGCCUGAUGCAGCGACGCCGCGUGGGGGAUGAAGGCCUUCGGGUUGUAAACUUCUUUUGCUCUGAACAAGGCGCACUUUGGGGUGUGUUGAGUGUCGGGGUUGAUUAGCGCCGGCUAACUACGUGCCAGCAGCCGCGGUAAUACGUAGGGCGCGAGCGUUGUCCGGAAUUAUUGGGCGUAAAGGGCUUGUAGGUGGCUGGUUGCGUCUGUCGUGAAAGCUCAUGGCUUAACUGUGGGUUUGCGGUGGGUACGGGCUGGCUUGAGUGCAGUAGGGGAGGCUGGAAUUCCUGGUGUAGCGGUGGAAUGCGCAGAUAUCAGGAGGAAUACCGGUGGCGAAGGCGGGUCUCUGGGCUGUUACUGACACUGAGGAGCGAAAGCAUGGGGAGCGAACAGG